CCUGGUGGCUCAGAUGGUAAAGAACCUGCCUGCAAUUCAGGAGACCCAGGUUCGAUCCCUGGGUCAGGA
rfam:TPA: Bos taurus chromosome 20, whole genome shotgun sequence.